AGAGAAGCAAGAAUGACUCAGAAAGCUCAAUGCCUGUGUCCAGGACACAGCAGGAACAAGCAACAUCAUGUAAUAGGACUGCAAUUUUUCCUAGCCAUCACCAGAAGAGCAAAGAGACAAUGCACAUGGAUUUUGAUGGCAGCAGAGGAGAAGUCUGACAAAAAGCAUAUCCAUGCAAAUCAGCUAACAGUGGUGAAUGUUGAAAAAUAGCGUUUUGUAGCUGAAAAUAUGCUCUAUCAAAUAGUUUAUUAUGCUUUUUGUAUCUGUUGUAGUUUCCAUGGAAAUACUUAGGAGACAUUACUUGCAGUGACCUACGUAUGUUAAAAUUACUGUAUGAAUUCCGUUAUAUUUAAUAGCUAUCAUCUCACUUGACAGUUGUAUUCUGUUUUCUGAAAAAAAAAUAUUCUUAGACUCACAAGUUCUUUAUAGUUUUCCUUCACCUGAAUCUAUUGUAUUAAAUAAUACUUGUGCUGGUACACAAUCUUUUUUUCAAAGUAGCCUUUAUUUUGGCAUCGAGGUUAAAACAGUGAGACCUGAAGAGAACUAAGAAAACAGUUACUACAGGCUGUUGCCACAUAUCUAUACCACAUGCUCUAAGCAGUUUUGUGUGAAAGUAUCAUUGCAACAAUAAUACAGGUUUUAAUUAAAUGCUAGUGAAC
rnacentral:lncRNA from 1 species